rnacentral:rRNA from 1 species
CUACGGGGUGCUGCAGCCGAGAAUAUUGCGCAAUGGGCGAAAGCCUGACGCAGCGACGCCGCGUGUCCGAAGAAGCCCUUCGGGGUGUAAAGGACUUUUUUUGGGGAAGAACCUUCGGGUGACGGUACCCAAGGAAUAAGGGGGGGCUAAUCGCGUGCCAGCAGCAGCGGUAAAACGUGACCCCCGAGCGUUAUCCGGAAUUAUUGGGCGUAAAGCGUCCGUAGGCGGCCAGACAAGUCUAAAGUUAAAUGCCUCGAGCUCAACUUGAGGGCGGCUUUAGAUACUGUUUGGCUAGAGGGUGUUAGGGGCUGAUGGAACUCUGGGUGUAGGGGUGAAAUCCGUUGAUAUCCAGGGGAACACCAAAAGCGAAGGCAUUCAGCUGGGGCAACCCUGACGCUGAGGGACGAAAGCUACGGGAGAGAAUAGGAUUAGAUACCCCUGUAGUC